UAGCGGAUAGUACCGUGAGGGAAUGGUGAAAAGUACCGCGGGAGCGGAGUGAAAUAGUACCUGAAACCGUGUGCCUACAAGCCGUGGGAGCGUCGCUGUUGUUCUUCGGAACAGCAGUCGUGACUGCGUGCCUUUUGAAGAAUGAGCCUGCGAGUUAGCGGUGUGUAGCGAGGUUAACCCGUGUGGGGAAGCCGUAGCGAAAGCGAGUCCGA
rnacentral:rRNA from 1 species